ACAGUACUCCCUCCGUCCGAAAAUACUUGUCAUCAAAAUGGAUAAAAAGGGAUGUAUCUAGAACUAAUAUACAUCUGGAUACAUCCCCUUUUAUUCAUUUUGAUGUCAAGUAUUUCCGGAUGGAUGUAGUACAUU
rfam:Triticum aestivum genome assembly, contig: Triticum_aestivum_CS42_TGACv1_scaffold_158677_2DL